UCGACGGAGCGAUAGAGCGGAAGUUUUCGGAUGGAAGCUGUAUAGCUUAGUGGCGGACGGGUGAGUAACGCGUGAGCAACCUGCCUUUCAGAGGGGGAUAACGAUUGGAAACGAUCGCUAAUACCGCAUAACGUCCGGAUGGGACAUCCUGUCUGGACCAAAGGAGAAAUCCGCUGAGAGAUGGGCUCGCGUCCAAUUAGCUAGUUGGCGGGGUAAAGGCCCACCAAGGCGACGAUUGGUAGCCGGACUGAGAGGUUGAACGGCCACAUUGGGACUGAGACACGGCCCAGACUCCUACGGGAGGCAGCAGUGGGGAAUAUUGCACAAUGGGGGGAACCCUGAUGCAGCGACGCCGCGUGAGGGAAGAAGGUUUUCGGAUUGUAAACCUCUGUCCUCUGUGACGAUAAUGACGGUAGCAGAGGAGGAAGCCACGGCUAACUACGUGCCAGCAGCCGCGGUAAUACGUAGGUGGCGAGCGUUAUCCGGAAUUACUGGGUGUAAAGGGAGCGUAGGCGGGGGAACAAGUUGAAUGUUUAAGAUAUGGGCUCAACUCAUAUAAGCGUUCAAAACUGUUUUUCUUGAGUGAAGUAGAGGUAAGCGGAAUUCCUAGUGUAGCGGUGGAAUGCGUAAGUAUUAGGAGGAACACCAGUGGCGAAGGCGGCUUACUGGGCUUUAACUGACGCUGAGGCUCGAAAGCGUGGGUAGCAAACAGGAUUAGAUACCCUGGUAGUCCACGCUGUAAACGAUGAUUACUAGGUGUGGGGGGACUGAACCCUUCCGUGCCGCAGUUAACACAAUAAGUAAUCCACCUGGGGAGUACGGCCGCAAGGCUGAAACUCAAAGGAAUUGACGGGGGCCCGCACAAGCAGUGGAGUAUGUGGUUUAA
rnacentral:rRNA from 1 species